rnacentral:rRNA from 1 species
UACGGGGGGGGUAAGCGUUGUUCGGAAUUACUGGGCGUAAAGGGCUCGUAGGCGGCCAACUAAGUCAGACGUGAAAUCCCUCAGCUUAACUGGGGAACUGCGUCUGAUACUGGAUGGCUUGGAUCCGGGAGAGGGAUGCGGAAUUCCAGGUGUAGCGGUGAAAUGCGUAGAUAUCUGGAGGAAUACCGGUGGCGAAGGCGGCAUCCUGGACCGAGAUUGACGCUGAGGAGCGAAAGCUAGGGGAGCAAACGGG